rnacentral:snRNA from 12 species
CACUUCUGCAGAAGGUACAGUAUUGCAAUUGGAAAGAUUCAGAGAAGAUUAGCAUGACCCCUGUGCAAGGAUGAAUUUUUUAAAUCGAAUUUUUAAAAAGCUGA